UUCAAAAUUCCCACUGUUUCUUCGAUUUCUUCGGAGAUCAACAACCAUUUCUCUUCUUUCACCCUUCUUUUCAUUUGCGUCGCUGACUCUGCAUUUCUGACCGCUGUUCACAUUUUUCAAUCAGAUCGGUGGUUUUCCACCUGUUCGUAGACGAAGAUCGGUCGUUUGGAAGGAUUUCUCGUUCAAGGCGUGGUUUGACAUCAGAUUCAAGCUUGGCGUUCUGGAAACUGUAAAUUGAUUACUCAAUGUCAUUCCUAGUUCCUACACUGAUAGAUUUCAGAGACAUACUUUUUAAACUUGAAACUUGAACGUUUUGGACAGUAUGGUGAACCCUACACGCAGUGGAAACAUGAGAAAUCCUAAUGAGAUAAUGAGGAUUCUAGUUACAACAUUUGUUGGAGGCGUUUUUGGGUUCUUUUUAGGGGUAUCCUUUCCCACACUCUCAUUAUCCCAGCUAAACUUCCCAUCCAGCCUGAUUCCUUCUAUUGAUCUCACUUACAUUGAGGACAAGUACUCAGGCCUCUCCACUGAAGCAUUCUUGAAUGCUUGGUCUUCUUUGAAGGGUAGCAGAGGCGGCUCCUUUCAGUAUUCACUGAACGAGACAAAGAUAUGGGUUCCUACAAAUCCAAGAGGAGCUGAAAGAUUACCACCUGGUAUUGUUGAGCCUGAAUCUGAUUUUAACCUUCGGCGUUUGUGGGGCAUGCCAAACGAGGAUUUGACCAUCAAACCGAAGUAUCUGUUAACAUUUACGGUUGGUUUUGGUCAGAAAAAGAAUAUUGAUGCAGCAGUUAAAAAGUUCUCAGAGAACUUCACGGUUCUGUUGUUUCACUAUGAUGGACGAGCAAGUGAUUGGGAAGAUUUAGAGUGGUCGAAGCAGGCAAUCCAUGUGAGUGUCCGCAAGCAAACUAAAUGGUGGUAUGCUAAGCGUUUUCUGCAUCCUGACAUUGUGGCAUCCUAUGACUACAUAUUUGUUUGGGAUGAGGAUCUAGGAGUAGAGCAUUUUAACGCAGAAGAAUAUUUAAAACUUGUGAGAAAACAUGGUUUGGAGAUUUCGCAACCUGGCUUAGAACCAAAUCAAGGGUUAACGUGGCAGAUGACUAAAAGGAGAGGUGACAGUGAAGUUCACAAGGAGACUGAGGAAAAACCCGGUUGGUGCACUCAUCCACAUCUUCCACCUUGUGCAGCUUUUGUCGAAAUCAUGGCAACUGUGUUUUCUCGCGAUGCAUGGCGCUGUGUUUGGCAUUUGAUUCAAAAUGAUUUGGUUCACGGUUGGGGUCUUGAUUUUGCUUUAAGAAGAUGUGUGGAACAGCCCGCUCAUGAGAAAAUAGGAGUUGUGGAUUCUCAGUGGAUUGUUCAUCAAAGUAUUCCUUCUCUUGGGAAUCAGGGGAAAGCAGAAGGUGGGAGAGCACCAUGGGAAGGGGUAAGAGAGAGAUGUAAAAAAGAAUGGGACAUUUUUAGGAUCCGGAUGUCUGAUGCUGAGAAUGCCUAUUAUCGUGGAAUGGGGAUUGAUCCGCCAAAUUCAACUCAAGCGUAGGAAAAAGGCUGCAACUAUUCUUUCCCUUUCUACUGGAAGAAAUCAUGUGUAAUGGCACUGAUAAGGAACUAUUUGUCCCGAGCGAGGAAUUCAUAGACUGAAAGCUAGUAGGUACCGUAGUGUCAAAGCUGCAGUGAUGAAGAUUGAUGAACUAAGUUUUCGGGAAUUUUGUAAUUCCGUGGCUGCAUCAUCUUCAUACAAAAAGAAAAGACUACCCUGAGUACACAAAUUGAACCUUUUACAACAUCAUAAUACUAAUAUCACAUUGUCUAGGAUACUAAAUUUUAGCUACAGCCAGUGCAAAUACUUUGUAUAAGAACUUAAAAGGGGAUAUACUUUGAUAUGAUCAGCUUUACUUGUUAA